rnacentral:rRNA from 1 species
GAUGAACGCUGGCGGCGUGCUUAACACAUGCAAGUCGAACGGAAAGGCUCCUGCUUGCAGGGGUACUCGAGUGGCGAACGGGUGAGUAACACGUGGGUGAUCUGCCCUGCACUUCGGGAUAAGCCUGAGAAACUGGGUCUAAUACCGGAUAGGACCACAUUUUGGAUGGUGUGGUGGAAAGUUUUUCGGUGUGGGAUGAGCUCGCGGCCUAUCAGCUUGUUGGUGGGGUAAUGGCCUACCAAGGCGUCGACGGGUAGCCGGCCUGAGAGGGUGUACGGCCACAUUGGGACUGAGAUACGGCCCAGACUCCUAAGGGAGGCAGCAGUGGGGAAUAUUGCACAAUGGGCGCAAGCCUGAUGCAGCGACGCCGCGUGGGGGAUGACGGCCUUCGGGUUGUAAACUCCUUUCGCUAGGGACGAAGCGUUUUUGUGACGGUACCUGGAGAAGAAGCACCGGCUAACUACGUG